GGGACCGAGGGCGUGGUUGUUUCAAAGUAAGAAUUGUUUAAUAUUUUUUCAAGUGAUGCUUUCACAUUUUAAACUAAACUUGUGUCAUAAAAUGUAACAAUUGUAUACUUUUUAUGUAACUGAUUACGUAUUAACAAUGAAACUGAUAUAUGUAAUAUGUGAGCAAGAAGUUUUCAACUUUACAUAUAACAGAUAACUGAUCCUUCUCUUACAACUGAGGUAGGGAGAAUGGCCAAGGUUUACCGGGGAUGUUGUGUUGAGGCGAUCGGAAACGCUGAUACCUUCCGUCUUGAAAUGCCACACGAUCUAGACUUAAAUAAAAAGAUACUUCUUAUUGGAGCAGUGUUCUUCAUUGAUUUCGUGAAUUUUGAACAGAAGUAAAAAAAAAAGCAAUACACUGGUACAUUGUGUACAGAAAAAGUCUCAACUUUGACUUAAAAUAGAUACGUUGAAACGUUACAAGCUAUAACUUAUUGAAUACGCAUACUCUGACUGAUUGAUACAAUUUAGUUCAAUGGCUCACACAUGUUGGAAUCUGUUGUAUUUAUAAAAGUUUCCGUGCCAUAUUUACAUGUAUAUUGUGUGAUACAAGUCAUUAUAUAAAUAUCUGUGCAGGUUAUUUUUUGAAUACUCACUUUAUGUUAUUCCUAUGGUCAAAGAAUUAUGAUUUAUUGAUGAUAUAAACCUUAAAGGGACUCCACUGAGGUUUAAAAAGCCUAAACACAUAACAUUUGAAUUUCUUGGGCAUUUUAAACAGAAAUAUAUGCAAAGAUUGUUAAGAAAUAUACUUUGAUGUAAAUUGAAAAUCGUAUUUUUAUGCUUUCCAUAGAUCGAUUUGAGUGAAAAGCGUUUAGGCCUAUACACUUUUCAUUUUGGGUCACCUUUUUACAAUUUGAAUCAUAAUUCUGAAAAAACGAAGUAUGCGAAUGAUUUAAAUGUCGGUUAGUGGUCUAAAUAUAAAUCAAAUAGUACAUUUAUCUGGAAAAAAUAUUCUUAGUCCCAUCAUGUCAAAAAACCUCAGUGGAGUCCCUUUAAACUGGCUUGAUAAGAAAGUGAUUAGUCUUUGCCAGCACUAUAGGGAGAACAGCUUGAUUAACUAUGUAGUCUGGUCAUGCUCUCAUGAUGUGGUUGAUCAACUUCAAAAUUAUCAUUUUGAUAUCCAUUAAAUUUAAUGUAUGGUUAAAAAUGAAAGCUGAACACGACGUGUAUCUUAAGAAAUUGAGCAGGUUAAAGCAGCAUGCCUCCAGAUUAAUGCUUAUGUUCAUGAAAAUGUUUUUAAAAAGAUAUAAAGUAAAAUACUGUGAAGUGAACAAAGACGGUAAUUUACACAUUUCAAACGGCACUUACAAUCCACUUAAAUUACCAUAGAAAGGUCAAAAUAUAAAUAAAUAUCUCCAACUGCGUUAGUAAUGCAGAAGAAUAUAGUGAUUGAUACUGCAAAAUCAGUCAUUUAUCGCACAUAACAUGUAAAUAGUUAAUUAAAUAUUGAUUAUGUUUACUUUUCUUUAGAUCUUAAUACAUUUUUCUAAAGACUGAAUAUCUUGUGAUAUUUUGGAUCAUCUGGAGGUGUGCAGCUUUAAAAGUGAAGUUUUAAUGAUAUUAAAGACAUUUCUGAUAGCAGUUCAGUACAUACAUAAAGUACCUCUGAUAUUUUACCUAUGAAAUCAUAAUUGAUUUUUAAGGUUCGAUGAAUAGUUUGUUUUUUGUUUAUAUCUAUGUGUUGUUAUUUUCAUGGAUAUUUUUAUAUAUUGGCAAUGCUUAUACUUUACUAUUGAAUCUAUUAGUGCCAUGUAGCAUUAUACACAUAUAUAUAUUUAUACUAUUUAUUUUGUAUAUUUAAUCAACGUUUUUACUUUUUCUAUUUAUAUAUUUAUAUGAUUUAAAAAGUAUAUUGUUUGCCAUGUUUUUAGCAUAUUUUUAUUUCACCUUGAAUAUUUUUUUUUGAAAUACGUUUUAUACAUUGUACGUCAGAAACGUUAAAACCGAGCGUGUUGUUGUUGAAGAGGUGCGAACACUGCAUUACUGAGAUUUUUUUAUCUUGACUUUUCUAGGAAUAGGAGAACCACUUUUACACACAUCGACGCUAGCGUCAAUCUUAGCUCAUGUUGGUAUCUCCAAAAACGACUGAAGGGAAUGGGUUGAAACUUUACAUACUUGUUCUCUGUGAAAAUCAUACAUGAUCACCACAGUUUCCAUAAUCCUUUAUAACUUUUUACAGAGAAAUGAUUCCUUUUUUAAUGUCAAUCACUGUCUUAUUUACAGCUCUUGUUAUCGCAAACAUUUAUUUACUUGGAUUGAUCUGAUAUCAUUUUAAAUUGAGUGGACUUUAUGUUUGUUUUUUUUUAUUUACAUCUGAUGUCAUGUUAGCAAAUAUUUAUAUAUGUUUAUACUAAAUAAAAUAUGUUUGG